rnacentral:rRNA from 1 species
UACGUAGGGGGCAAGCGUUGUCCGGAUUUAUUGGGCGUAAAGAGCGUGUAGGCGGUCUGACAAGUCUGCUGUGAAAACUCGAGGCUCAACCUCGAGAUGUCGGCGGAAACUGUCUGGCUAGAGUCCGGAAGAGGAGAGUGGAAUUCCUGGUGUAGCGGUGAAAUGCGCAGAUAUCAGGAAGAACACCUAUGGCGAAGGCAGCUCUCUGGGACGGUACUGACGCUGAGACGCGAAAGCGUGGGGAGCAAACAGG